rnacentral:tRNA from 1 species
GUUUUUUUUCUUUUAAGGUUAGGAUAAUUGCCUUCCAAGCAAUAGACCCGGGUUCGACUCCCGGCAAACGCA